CCUACGGGAGGCAGCAGUGGGGAAUCUUGCACAAUGGGCGAAAGCCUGAUGCAGCAACGCCGCGUGCGGGAAGAAGGCCCUAGGGUUGUAAACCGCUUUCAGUAGGGAAGAAAAUGACGGUACCUACAGAAGAAGGUGCGGCCAACUACGUGCCAGCAGCCGCGGUGACACGUAGGCACCAAGCGUUAUCCGGAUUUAUUGGGCGUAAAGAGCUCGUAGGCGGUUCGGUAAGUCGGGUGUGAAAACUCUGGGCUCAACCCAGAGAGGCCACCCGGAUACUGCUGUGACUAGAGUGCGGUAGGGGAGCGGGGAAUUCCUGGUGUAGCGGUGAAAUGCGCAGAUAUCAGGAGGAACACCAGCGGCGAAGGCGCCGCUCUGGGCCGUAACUGACGCUGAGGAGCGAAAGCAUGGGUAGCAAACAGGAUUAGAUACCCUGGUAGUCCAUGCCGUAAACGUUGGGCACUAGGUGUGGGUCUCAACCAACGAGAUCCGCGCCGUCGCUAACGCAUUAAGUGCCCCGCCUGGGGAGUACGGUCGCAAGCUAAAACGUCAAAGGAAUUGACGG
rnacentral:rRNA from 1 species